UGGGGAAUUUUGGACAAUGGGGGGCAACCCUGAUCCAGCAAUGCCGCGUGUGUGAAGAAGGCCUUCGGGUUGUAAAGCACUUUUGUCCGGGAAGAAAUCCCCUGCCCUAAUACGGCGGGGGGAUGACGGUACCGGAAGAAUAAGCACCGGCUAACUACGUGCCAGCAGCCGCGGUAAUACGUAGGGUGCGAGCGUUAAUCGGAAUUACUGGGCGUAAAGCGUGCGCAGGCGGUGAUGUAAGACCGAUGUGAAAUCCCCGGGGCUCAACCUGGGAACUGCAUUGGUGACUGCAUUGCUCGAGUAUGGCAGAGGGGGGUGGAAUUCCACGUGUAGCAGUGAAAUGCGUAGAGAUGUGGAGGAACACCGAUGGCGAAGGCAGCCCCCUGGGCCAAUACUGACGCUCAUGCACGAAAGCGUGGGGGAGCAAACAGGAUUAGAUACCCCUGGUAGUCCACGCCCUAAACGAUGUCAACUGGUUGUCGGGCCUUCAUUGGCUUGGUAACGUAGCUAACGCGUGAAGUUGACCGCCU
rnacentral:rRNA from 1 species